UUUAGUUUUAUAUAGUGUUUGUUUUAUUGGAGUUUGAUGCUUUCAAGCCGGUUGGCCCGAGGAGGCUUCUUCACCAUGGCGUUAUGUGUAGGUACGUCUAAUAGCAAGCUCUGCUUCACCUUGGUAGGGUGCGUGGAGAUGAGUAUGUUCUCAAGUUAGGCUGAUAGUUUCUUAAGAGUCAAGGAAAGAGUUAAGAGGCGAAGAGGAAAGGUAGUAACCGUUACGUAGUUAUAACCUGAAAACUUAAAGUCUUUGCUAUUGUUGGUUAUUUACUGAUUAAAUAUUAAAAUUUAAAAGUAUGUAUGUGUCGUUAAUGUGGGGUCGUAUGUGUUUUAUGUAAUAUUAAUGUUCAGAUAGAGUAUAAUAAGAACAAUUCGAAACACUCAAUUCCCACUCUAAACAUGGUGAAAAGAGUCAUAAUCUCAUUAUUGGGUAUAAAUUUUUAAAAGUGUAUUCAUAUUUUUAAGUACACAUGCU
rnacentral:lncRNA from 1 species